UUUCCUUUCUUUAUGUUCCCUACGCUCUCUCUCAAAAUUCUAUACUUUUAAUUCUUAUUUUUAUUUUACCCUAUAAUAAUAAUAAAGCCCUGCUUCGUUUUAAGUAUUGUAACUCCCGGUCACCGCUACCCUUUCCGAUUGAUCUGAAAUCCAUAACUCAUGUCAGGGCUCUGCCCGACUAAGUUGUUGGGAUUCUAUCUCGGGACAUCGGGACAAGGUUGAUUUAGGAGUACUAUACUUACCACGAGUGCAUUAUAUAUUUUUAAUAGCCCAAAAGUUAUACCCAAAAUUUAUACCAGGAGGUUUUCUAGUCAAACCCUAAAGUUACAAAGUGGGUCCAUUCUCUUUUCUCACUAUUUUAUUCCCUUUUUCUUUAUAAUAUAAUUAUAUUCAAAAAUAUCCCAAAUCGAUCCAUACGUAAAAACCCGGACCCCUGAAACCCCAAUCCAUAUCAAAAAUCAAGAAAACAAGAUUUGUGGUCUUCAGGCGGGCCGCGUAAAGAUAAGCCGAGGCUUACGCGGGCCGCGACAGCAAGGCAAAUCUCCAGAUAAGCUUAAGGGACACGUGGUAUUCACCUGGCAAACCUACUGGUGACUCAGCAACCCUACGCGUAGGCUAGGCGACUACGCGGGCCGCGUAAGAGUCGAGCCAAGGCUCACGCGGGCCGCGUGAAACCCAAAUUCCAGCUAUAAAUAGAGCAGGCUACGAGCAGUCCUCUGGUGUCGAAAGUUUCUUUCAGAAACGAAGUUAUACUGUCCAAAUUCGAAUAUUACUCUCAAAUUAGCGAGGCACUGCUACGAUACAGGGUUACCAGGCUUAUCCAUAGGAUAAACUUCACCCCAUACACUUACAAUCAAAGUAGAUGUUAAUUCUCAGAAGAAAAUGAAUCAGGAAGCUUGUUAAAUCAAUACUGCAUGCUUAUAAUGUAAUUACAGUAGAUUGGAGUAAGAAUUGGAUCCGACACUGAAGGACUUCAAGAAGUGGCUUAUUAAUUAAAUCAAAUUAAGAAAUAUUGUUUAUUAAAAUCUACCUUUGUAAAACAUGGAAUUUAUUCCAUCUAUUUAAAUAAAAUCCGGUGUUUCUAAACUCUGAUAGUUUUCCUAACUCACGGUCCUGAUGAAAUUUCCGCUGCAAAUGUUUUCAAAAAUAAACUACCGGUACCACGGGGCUGCUCACGGCUCUCGAUUCCGUCCAGGGUGGGUCGGGGGUCGUGACAAAAAAAGAAGAAGUUUCAACCAAUAAACCAAUAAGAAUGAUUCAUUCUACUUCAUUUAAUAUUUGCAUUUAAUUUUAAUAUAGUGGAAGGUUCAAAUGAGAAGAAAAAAAAUUGUAAGAAUAAAAAGAAUAAGUUUUAAAUCAAUAGAAAUGCUCAAUUUUACUUCAUUUAAUAUGUGUAUUUAAUGUUAUUAAUAAGCCAUAUAGGUAUAUUUCUAAUUGUAAUUAAUUAGCUAACUAACUAAAAUUGUAACUCACUUUUAAAUAUAUUCUUUCAAGAUAAAAUAAUUUAGGAUGAAGGACAAUUUUCGACAUGUGUAGGAUAAAUUUUAGUAUGUGUAUGAUAAAUUCUUAAAUGUGUAUGAUAAAUUUAGAUAUGCGUAGGGUAAAUUUCGGUAAGUGUAAGAUAUAUGUAGGAUAAAUUUUGAAAUAUGUAGGAUAAAAUGUUUUUUGCUUUAUUAAUGAGAGAUAACAUAAUUAAUGGGGGGAGUUAUAAACUAUUUAAUGUUUUAUCAUUAUGCAGUUUCUUCUUUUUCUUCUCACAUUAAAUUUUCUUCUCAAAUGAACCUUACCUAAUAAAAAUCAUGAUAUCUUGUGAGUCAUCAUCUUAGAAUAAAUGUGAAAACCGUAAUUGUUGAUAGUUGAUAGGUACCACUGCAAAUUUAAAAACAAAUAUGUAUCUAGAAUUAAAGGGCACACCUUUUCCUUUUUAUGAAAAUAAAUUCGGAAUUGGUGGCGCCCGAAAAAAUUCCUUCAUAUCAUAAUAAGUGCUUAAAAGAAAUAUAGUAUAUGUAGCCUAUGUGUCACAUGUCGGAUUGCGGCCGGAUUGAACCACCACUAGAAGGUUGCUAAAUAUACUGUAUUGGCUGAAGCUUACGUGUCACAUAUUGAGUUGCAACUUAGCUGAAACACCACUGAGUGAAGUUGUAUAUGAGAAACAAUAUCAUCAAUUCCAUAGAAUGUUUAAUUUUAAAUACAUGUAGGUUUUUGUUUGAUGUGGUAGGAAAAUCUAAAUAAUUAAACUUGUGCCUUAAUAGUUUGAUACGAGAUUAGGUAGAACUAUAAAUCUUGAGUGUGAGAUCCUUAAAUUGAAUGUCAACUUGAACUUAAUAUAUGAAUGGGAGCCUAAUUGUCUGGUGGUUGGGUUUAGAUGGAUAACCAAUAGUUGCGGCUAGUUUUUUUUUGGACGGUAGGAUUUUAUGAUUAUAGAAUAGUUGCGGUUAGUGUAUGAGUAUAUCUUCAAUGAAAUAACCUAAUGUUUUUGAAAGCCAUAUAUUUUGAUUGUGAUUCCAUUGCAGCUUUUUCAGGGACGAAAAUCGUUGAAGUGUGGGGAGAUUUGAUGUGUUGCUAAAUACCGUCACGUUAUUUAUCUAUGUAUUUUGCAUAUUUUUAGAUAAGUUUUUAUUUGUUUUUGUUUUUUAAAGCUUGUAUUUGAUUAUUUUGUGUUUUGGCAGAUCCAUGUGCAAAAUGGAGCAAAAACGAGCUGAAACGGUAACCAAACGAGCAACCGGGAGAAAGGAUAGAAGUGCAGGGUCCUAAACUAUAAUUUCUGAAGAAAUGUAGGGGUACCGCGUCAUGAGAAAGGAUCCUAGGGUGUGUUGCACAUCGCCUAGGGUUAUAAGAACACGUGAAAUACCCUUAAUGAAAUAAGGGUAUUUAUCCUUGUGUCGUCGCUUCAGUUCUUUAUCUUUCUAUGCCAUAAGAAUAUCGCGAGGCCGGGUUCCAUUUGGAUCGCGAUACGUGAGACGUGUAUUAAACAAAACAAACGUAUUUGAGUUGGAUUUAUGUCACACCCCGAUAUUUCCACAUGUUACCGGUGGGCCCGGCUGGGAGUAUCGUGACGUAGUUGAUAUCAUCAUAGUCAAAUAUACACAGUUUAUAGCACAGCAGAAGUCUUGGUAGAAAUUACUAUUAUAAACCGAAAGUGUAAAGUACGAAUAAAAUAAUAUACAGACGGUUGUAAGAAAGGAUCCACAGGCGGAUCUA
rnacentral:lncRNA from 1 species